rnacentral:lncRNA from 1 species
CUUGAACUCUUUUGCGGGAACGGGAAGUCGGUUGGGUACAGGAGCGUUGGAUUGUUUACAAAAGCCGGUUCAAUCAAAAUUGCAGUUUUUCCCAAUGAGGCCCAAAAAGGACAAAGGAGCCAAAGGCUUUAAACAAGGAGAGAGUCAGAAAGCUUCGUCUGAUGAUACGAUGGAGCUCACCAACCUGUCUUCUAUAGACAAAGCUAGCUUCAUGGAGGGACUGCAGCUAAAUUACGGUAACCCUCUGCACAGUACUGCCAUGGAAGAAGACUUGGAGGAAAGACAGGUGGACAAAGACGGAGCAGGAAAACAUACAGUCAAGCCCACCAGUAAACAGCAGCGGGGAGCUGCUGUGAAGAGGAAGAAGACAGAGGAGAGUGGGGAGAGUGGGAAGGAAGAGAAGAGGAAGAAGCGGAGUACGAUGAGUACUGGAAACACUGUCAGCCAACCUGGGAAGAUGUCUGCCAAGAAGAGUAGUGCUGGACAGAAAUCUACAGCUAAGUAGGAUCAUAUUCACACAGUCCUGUUUGUCCUUCUGUCUUUCUGUUUGUUUAUUUAUCCAUCCCCCCCAGCCCAGUGAAAAAUCAGCCACUAAGGAAGAGAGAGAGUGAACCAGCAAAUGUGGACUCCGGGGAAAGUGAGCUGGAGGUAAGCGAAGUGGAAGAUAAUGACUGAAACAAGGAAAAGAACCAUUUCUGGAACUAUUCACGUUGAGACUUUUCACAUG